rnacentral:rRNA from 1 species
GAUGAACGCCGGCGGUGUGCCUAAUACAUGCAAGUCGAACGCGUUGGCCCAAUUGAUUGACGGUGCUUGCAUCUGAUUGAUUUUGGUCGCCAACGAGUGGCGGACGGGUGAGUAACACGUAGGUAACCUGCCCAGAAGCGGGGGACAACAUUUGGAAACAGAUGCUAAUACCGCAUAACAGCGUUGUUCGCAUGAACAACGCUUAAAAGAUGGCUUCUCGCUAUCACUUCUGGAUGGACCUGCGGUGCAUUAGCUUGUUGGUGGGGUAACGGCCUACCAAGGCGAUGAUGCAUAGCCGAGUUGAGAGACUGAUCGGCCACAAUGGGACUGAGACACGGCCCAUACUCCUACGGGAGGCAGCAGUAGGGAAUCUUCCACAAUGGGCGCAAGCCUGAUGGAGCAACACCGCGUGAGUGAAGAAGGGUUUCGGCUCGUAAAGCUCUGUUGUUAAAGAAGAACACGUAUGAGAGUAACUGUUCAUACGUUGACGGUAUUUAACCAGAAAGUCACGGCUAACUACGUGCCACCAGCCGCGGUAAUACUUAGGUGGCGAGCGUUAUCCGGAUUUAUUGGGCGUAAAGAGAGUGCAG